rnacentral:rRNA from 1 species
AGAGUUUGAUCCUGGCUCAGAUUGAACGCUGGCGGCAGGCUUAACACAUACAAGUCGAGCGGGGAAAAGUAGCUUGCUACUUAACCUAGCGGCGGACGGGUGAGUAAUGCUUAGGAAUCUGCCUAUUAGUGGGGGACAACAUCUCGAAAGGGAUGCUAAUACCGCAUACGUCCUACGGGAGAAAGCAGGGGACCUUCGGGCCUUGCGCUAAUAGAUGAGCCUAAGUCGGAUUAGCUAGUUGGUGGGGUAAAGGCCUACCAAGGCGACGAUCUGUAGCGGGUCUGAGAGGAUGAUCCGCCACACUGGGACUGAGACACGGCCCAGACUCCUACGGGAGGCAGCAGUGGGGAAUAUUGGACAAUGGGGGGAACCCUGAUCCAGCCAUGCCGCGUGUGUGAAGAAGGCCUUUUGGUUGUAAAGCACUUUAAGCGAGGAGGAGGCUACCGAGAUUAAUACUCUUGGAUAGUGGACGUUACUCGCAGAAUAAGCACCGGCUAACUCUGUGCCAGCAGCCGCGGUAAUACAGAGGGUGCAAGCGUUAAUCGGAUUUACUGGGCGUAAAGCGCGCGUAGGUGGCCAAUUAAGUCAAAUGUGAAAUCCCCGAGCUUAACUU